rnacentral:rRNA from 1 species
AUGCACGCUGGCGGCGUGCUUAACACAUUCCAGUCGCACGAUGAAGCCCAGCUUGCUGGGUGGAUUAGUGGCGAACGGGUGAGUAACACGUGAGUAACCUGCCCUUGACUCUGGGAUAAGCCCGGGAAACUGGGUCUAAUACCGGAUAGGAGCGCCUGUCGCAUGACGGGUGUUGGAAAGAUUUUUCGGUCAUGGAUGGACUCGCGGCCUAUCAGCUUGUUGGUGAGGUAAUGGCUCACCAAGGCGACGACGGGUAGCCGGCCUGAGAGGGUGACCGGCCACACUGGGACUGAGACACGGCCCAGACUCCUACGGGAGGCAGCAGUGGGGAAUAUUGCACAAUGGGCGGAAGCCUGAUGCAGCGACGCCGCGUGAGGGAUGACGGCCUUCGGGUUGUAAACCUCUUUCAGUAGGGAAGAAGCGAAAGUGACGGUACCUGCAGAAGAAGCACCGGCUAACUACGUG